GCGUGCUUAACACAUGCAAGUCGAACGGAAUCCAUGGUGUAGCAAUACACCGGAAGAUUUAGUGGCGAACGGGUGAGGAUCACGUGAGAAACCUGCCCCAGACUUUGGGAUAACAAUUGGAAACGAUUGCUAAUACCGAAUGACGUCGGAGAACCGCAUGGUUCACUGACGAAAGGAAAUCCGGUUUGGGAGGGUCUCGCGGCCUAUCAGCUUGUUGGUGGGGUAAUGGCCUACCAAGGCAACGACGGGUAGCUGGUCUGAGAGGAUGAUCAGCCACACUGGGACUGAGACACGGCCCAGACUCCUACGGGAGGCAGCAGUGGGGAAUCUUGCGCAAUGGGCGAAAGCCUGACGCAGCAACGCCGCGUGCGGGAUGAAGGCCUUCGGGCUGUAAACCGCUUUCAGCAGGAACGAAAAUGACGGUACCUGCAGAAGAAGGAGCGGCCAACUACGUGCCAGCAGCCGCGGUGACACGUAGGCUCCAAGCGUUGUCCGGAUUUAUUGGGCGUAAAGAGCUCGUAGGCGGUUUAGUAAGUCGGGUGUUAAAACUCUGGGCUCAACCCGGAGAGGCCAUCCGAUACUGCUGUGACUUGAGUUCAGGAGGGGAGCGGGGAAUUCCUAGUGUAGCGGUGAAAUGCGCAGAUAUUAGGAGGAACACCGGUGGCGAAGGCGCCGCUCUGGACUGAAACUGACGCUGAGGAGCGAAAGCAUGGGUAGCAAACAGGAUUAGAUACCCUGGUAGUCCAUGCCGUAAACGGUGGGCACUAGGUGUGGGUUCCAACUAACGGGAUCCGCGCCGUCGCUAACGCAUUAAGUGCCC
rnacentral:rRNA from 1 species